AAACAGAAUAUCAUUUCGAGUGUCCCCUUGGGCGUAUGGCCUUUGGGGAAGGAUAGGGAAUCGUGUGAAAAUCACGGACGGUACCGCCGCUGUAAGCGUUUGACGGUCCGCGCUCGUCGGCCAAAGCCGGUCAUUGGGGAAACCUGAGAAGGCAGAGCGCGUUUCGGGAGAAUAAAUCUCCCACAGACGCAAGUCAGAAGACCUGCUCAGAAAUGGCUCCGCAC
rnacentral:ncRNA from 2 species